rnacentral:rRNA from 1 species
GACGGUGGAGUAUGUGGUUUAAUUCGAUGCAACGCGAAGAACUUACCUGGUCUUGACAUCCCGGAGACCCUUAGGAAACUAGGGGUGCUUCCAUCUGGAAGAAUCUGGAGACAGGUGCUGCAUGGCUGUCGUCAGCUCGUGUCGUGAGAUGUUGGGUUAAGUCCCGCAACGAGCGCAACCCUUGCCUUUAGUUGCCAGCAGUUCGGCUGGGCACUCUAAAGGGACUGCCGGUGUUAAACCGGAGGAAGGUGGGGAUGACGUCAAGUCCUCAUGGCCUUUAUGACCAGGGCUACACACGUACUACAAUGGCCGAUACAAAGGGCAGCGACACUGCGAGGUGAAGCCAAUCCCGUAAAAUCGGUCUCAGUCCGGAUUGGAGUCUGCAACUCGACUCCAUGAAGUUGGAAUCGCUAGUAAUCGUGGAUCAGCAUGCCACGGUGAAUACGUUCCCGGGCCUU